rnacentral:rRNA from 1 species
AUUGAACGCUGGCGGCAAGCCUAACACAUGCAAGUCGAACGAGUGGCGGACGGGUGAGUAAUGUCUGGGAAACUGCCCGAUGGAGGGGGAUAACUACUGGAAACGGUAGCUAAUACCGCAUACCAUCGGAUGUGCCCAGAUGGGAUUAGCUAGUAGGUGGGGUAAAGGCUCACCUAGGCGACGAUCCCUAGCUGGUCUGAGAGGAUGACCAGCCACACUGGAACUGAGACACGGUCCAGACUCCUACGGGAGGCAGCAGUGGGGAAUAUUCCACAAUGGGCGCAAGCCUGAUGCAGCCAUGCCGCGUGUGUGAAGAAGGCUUUCGGGUUGUAAAGUACUGUCAGCGGGGAGGCGUUACUCACCCAAGAAGCACCGGCUAACUACGUGCCAGCAGCCGCGGUAAUUC